rnacentral:rRNA from 1 species
UACGGAGGGUGCAAGCGUUAUCCGGAAUCACUGGGUUUAAAGGGUGUGUAGGCGGCUAUGUAAGUCAGUUGUGAAAUACCUCGGCUUAACCGAAGGAAGUGCGAGUGAUACUGCGUAGCUUGAAUCAGGUUGAGGUAGGCGGAAUGUGGCAUGUAGCGGUGAAAUGCUUAGAUAUGCCAUAGAACACCGAUUGCGAAGGCAGCUUACUGGGCUUGGAUUGACGCUGAGGCACGAAAGCGUGGGGAGCAAACAGG